rnacentral:rRNA from 1 species
UUCAUCAAGAACGAAAGUGCGGGCGCGAAGAUGAUCAGAUACCGUCGUAGUCGCAACUAUAAACUUUGUCGCCCAAGGGGUAGUGGUAGUUACAUGAUGACACCUCUAUAACUUUGUGAGAAAUCAUAAGUAUUUGGACUCUGGGGGAAGUAUGGUCGCAAGGCUGAAACUUAAAGGAAUUGACGGAAGGGCACCACCAGGAGUGGAACCUGCGGCUUAAUUUGACUCAACACGGGGAAACUUACCAGGUCCAGACACAAUAAGGAUUGACAGAUUGAUAGCUCUUUCUUGAUUUUGUGGAAAGUGGUGCAUGGCCGUUUUUAGUUGGUGGAUUGAUUUGUCUGGUUAAUUCCGUUAACGAACGAGACCUAAACCUACUAACUAGUUAAUGGUAACUUGGACUCUUUUUAUAAAGUGACCUUAUAUUUAUCCAAACUUCUUAGAGGGACUCUUUAUACUUAGUGAAUGGAAGUUUUAGGCAACAACAGGUCUGUGAUG